UACGGGGGAUGCAAGCGUUAUCCGGAUUUAUUGGGUUUAAAGGGUGCGUAGGCUGUGAGGUAAGUCAGCGGUGAAAUGCCCCCGCUCAACGGGGUGAAGUGCCAUUGAUACUGCCUUGCUGGAAUGCGGACGCCGUGGGAGGAAUGUGUGGUGUAGCGGUGAAAUGCAUAGAUAUCACACAGAACACCGAUUGCGAAGGCAUCUCACGAAUCCGCUAUUGACGCUGAUGCACGAAAGCGUGGGUAUCAAACAGG
rnacentral:rRNA from 1 species